rnacentral:rRNA from 1 species
GUUGUCCGGAAUCAUUGGGCGUAAAGAGCGUGUAGGCGGCCAGAUAAGUCCGCUGUGAAAUCUCGAGGCUCAACUUCGAGCUGUCGGUGGAAACUGUCUGGCUAGAGUCCGGAAGAGGAGAAUGGAAUUCCUGGUGUAGCGGUGAAAUGCGCAGAUAUCAGGAAGAACACCCGUGGCGAAGGCGGUUCUCUGGGACGGUACUGACGCUGAGACGCGAAAGCGUGGGGAGCGAACAGG